rnacentral:lncRNA from 1 species
GAAAAGGAUUCAAUAAAAAAUGUGUAGAAAAUGAAUAAGACAGAAUCUAAAAGAAACGUGGAUGAAAGGAUAGGUUCAGGGGUUUGUUUUGCUUCUUUUCUCUACAAUAGUAGAGAGAUUUUAUCAAAUUUAAAUACUGAUAAGUAAGAAAAAAGAUGCUAAAGCUACAAGUGGAGGCUGACGGACGGAGAGAGGUUCCUAAGGAAGAGCAGAGUGCGUUCACGCAGAAGGGAAAUCUGUGCACACUAAAAUGAACCGAGACUGUGACGAUGAAGGAAGGCAAGUGUUAGGAAGACAGAACAAUUCAUGCAAGUCCCGUCUGAUGUCUUCCCUUGUUGGAAGUGCAUGAAAUGUUGAAGAAGUUCAGAGGACAUUUUUAGAUGCACUACGAAAGACGAGGUAUGACAAAGAAGAGCUGCUGUGUUUGGGGUGGAAGGCUUCUCUGAGGAGGCUGGAGGCAUCACGCCCAAGAUCAGGAGAGCUCCCCUGCACAUUCGAGGAGGAGAGGGAAGACACAACAGAAGACAUGGCACACUUCCCUCCAUCCCAGAUGGGAAGGACAGCCACAGGCUGGCUGCCCAAGGUGAGAAUCAGGCUUUACAUCAGCGACAAAGCAGAGGAAUGACAGGACCAGAAUGAGCAUAUUCCAAGACCUGAGAGUGACCACACAUUAUGACAGUCAUGCUGAGAAGAGGCGGAGGAAGUCCACCCUUUAGAGGUAACACUCCAGUGAGGAGAACGUGCUGUUUUAUGCCUCUAUUCCAACAAGGUGAGAUUCCCCAAAAUCUUUUCUGAGGUUUAAAACGAUGACUGA